rnacentral:lncRNA from 1 species
CUUUAACUUGUCUGUGUUUCCCAGAGAAUGUGUUCUCAUUAUUUUGUCUGCUGUUUUGUACCUUUGGACAUUCCACCAAUGAUGAAAUUCAGACAGGUAAUUGCAACAUUCCUCAUAUCAUCUUCUAAAGAUUAAAUGUCUCCUCGCUUGUGUUUUUUUCAUUUUAUUUGGCAUUAUAUUUUAUUGCAUUUAGAUAAUCAGCAGAACUUGGUGCCUGUCUCUUUAUUUAUGAAAUGGGGAAAGAGUAUCUCCUUUAUGUUGCUAUUGUUGUGUUAAAUAUAAUAGCAUAUAUUUAAAACGUGGAAAGGCAUGAAUGGUGAAUAGUCAAUAAGUGCUAGUUUCCUCCCUGUUCUCCAGCCCCUAGAUAUGGGAAAUAUUUCUUUGCAGUAAGUUGAUCUGUGCUUACUGCAUUAGUUAACAAUUGUUAUGUUACAAAGCAUUCCAAACUCCUUAAAUAAUCAACAUUUUAAACAUUUCUCGUGAAGAUAGAGCCAUGUUGCUCUGCUAAUCUUGGCUAGGUUUGGCUCAUCUCACAGAGGCCUGAUCAUGUCAUGAAUAAUUAUCCAGCUAAGGGAGACUAGGCUUAGAGUGGUUUUUAAUACCUCCUAUCCCUUCAGCAGCCCAAUCCCUUCAGUGGGGUAUCUAAGAGCAAACAGUCUCAACUGUGGAAGAUGACAAGGAAAAAUGAGCAUAUACUUUUCAAGGUUGGAUAUUGCUAAUAUCUCAGUGGUUAAAGUAAGUCACAUGACUGAACCCAAAAUCAGAGCAUGGAGGGACUGUAUAAUUUCAGGAAAAAAAGCAUGGAUAAUUAGGACCAUUGGUACAAUCGACUUAUUACCUCUACAAAGUUUCUUGCAGACCCUUGUAAUUAGUCAAGGUUUAGUCAGAGAAGCAGAAUACCCACAGAUCGUCAAGUGGUAUUGAAUGAUUUACUUUAAGAGUUAAACCUUAUGCAAUUGCGGGACUGACCUAUUAGAGCAGGCUGUGUACCCUCUGUCUUGUGUUGAUUCUGAAGCUGUUUUGGUCAUCCAGAGUGCUACUCUAAAGAAAACCAGGAUGUGUAAAGUCAAUAACUAGAGCUCAUGACAACAACUGGGACCUAUGUCUGUCUCUCACCAUCUCUAACCUUGGUGCAGUGACUGGUUACCUGGAGGGAA